rnacentral:rRNA from 1 species
GUUGGGAAUCUUGCACAAUGGGGGAAACCCUGAUGCAGCGACGCCGCGUGGAGGAUGACGGAUCUAGGUCUGUAAACUCCUUUUUCAUGGAAAGACUUAGGACGGUACCAUGAGAAUAAGGACCGGCUAACUACGUGCCAGCAGCCGCGGUAAGACGUAGGGUCCAAGCGUUGUCCGGAUUUACUGGGCGUAAAGAGCGCGUAGGCGGUCUAUUAAGUGUGAAGUGAAAUCUCCAGGGCUCAACCCGGAAACUGCUUCGCAUACUGAUAGACUUGAGGAAUGCAGAGGUUUGUGGAAUUCCUGGUGUAACGGUGAAAUGUGUUGAUAUCAGGAGGAACACCCAUGGCGAAGGCAGCAAACUGGGCAUUAUCUGACGCUGAGGCGCGAAAGCGUGGGUAGCAAACAGGAUUAGAAACCCCAGUAGUCC